rnacentral:rRNA from 1 species
GACGAACGCUGGCGGCGUGCUUAACACAUGCAAGUCGAACGGAAAGGCCCUGCUUGCCGGGUACUCGAGCGGCGAACGGGUGAGUAACACGUGGGUGAUCUGCCCUGCACUUCGGGAUAAGCUUGGGAAACUGGGUCUAAUACCGGAUAGGAGCCAUCUUUAGUGUGGUGGUUGGAAAGUUUUUUCGGUGUAGGAUGAGCUCGCGGCCUAUCAGCUUGUUGGUGGGGUAAUGGCCUACCAAGGCGGCGACGGGUAGCCGGCCUGAGAGGGUGUACGGCCACAUUGGGACUGAGAUACGGCCCAGACUCCUACGGGAGGCAGCAGUGGGGAAUAUUGCACAAUGGGCGCAAGCCUGAUGCAGCGACGCCGCGUGGGGGAUGAAGGCCUUCGGGUUGUAAACUCCUUUCGCUAGGGACGAAGCUUUUUGUGACGGUACCUAGAUAAGAAGCACCGGCUAACUACGUG